GCCCCUUCUACCAAGCUUUUUGGGUGCUUCACUUAGAGCUGGCAUUACCAAUUUGGCCUCUUGGAAAACAGUAUCUUCAUUUUAGUUUUGAUGUGCAAAAUAAACCAAAAGAUAAUACUAACUGUUAAAGCAGGGAAGCAAUUCAGGGUAGCAUAGUUGAUCAUUUUCUAUGACAAUUAACAUCCAUGCUUCUAAAGUAGAUCAGCAUUGAUACCAAAUGAAACUAAAUCACAAUUCAAAAGAAUGGAUCAAUACAUGGUUAUUAUUUUUUGGAUGAACAGAAUAGUAGUACAAGCAAGUGUUCACUGACCCAUUGUGGUUGCAGGAUGCAGCAGUUGCAGUGCUUCGGGAAGGACUGGUUAUCCAAUAGUCUCCUGUGUUUUUGUUUUAUUGGCUUUUGCCAUUUCUGCAGCUUACAUUGCAGAAAAGAGACAAGUUUGAUUAUUUUCGUUUUUACUUGAAGAUAGAAUAGUUACUGGUUAUAUUAUUAUCACACUGAUAACGAGUUUGUGCUAUAAUUCAGCUUAACAAAUGCCUUAGCAAGAUCCAAAGAAAUAUGUUUUGAAUUUAUUUGUGAAGUUUUAAAACAAUAUAAAUCAAUUUAUGCUGCUUGUCUGAAGCAUGACAGAACACAACCAGAAUUCACUAUACUAGGAGACACAACUCAUAGGUUACACAUUGUGUAACAUUAUAAAAUAAUUUGGUGGUGUAUCACUAAAACAGAAUGGUUAUGAUGGCAUGUAUUAUAUAUCCUAAAGGAAUAUAUAUAUUCUCCGUCAUUUUAUACUCAACUAAAACUGGCAUUGAAUGAUCCUGAAUUUUAGUGCCUGAAUUCACAGUAUGGGUUGCAAAUGUGCGGCAGAAACUUGCAUAACGCUGCAAAAAUGCAAUAAAAUGUGAAGCCAGAUCAAGAACUGAAGCCUGCAUAAUUUGAAACAAAAUUAAAUUGCAUUUUUUUAUUUUACUAAACAAAAUAAGCAAUGCCACUUGUCAAACUAUAACAAAAGUAGACCUGCAUAGCCAUUGAUUCAGAGUCAAUGCUGUUUAAUCUUUCCUUGGGGAUGCUUGCCAGGCUCAGGCACUAAAGCUGAAGAAUUUAUCAAAGUAGACUCAACUCCUUUCCCAAGCAUAUAUAUCAAAUAACAACCUACCUUGCAUUUCCAGAAUCAUAUCCCAGUAUGUUUAACCUAAAAAGCAGUACCACAGACAUAAACUUGGCUGUCCAAGAACAAUUAACACUGAAGGUUAUAUUAUAAUUCUCCCAGAUGAAAGAUGCAUUAAAAGGUUGAUGGAAAUUUGGGUGAAAAGUAGACCUUAACAGAUUAUCGAAAAAUCAGAUUUACACAGAAAUCCAUAUCAAUAUAAUCAAACAAUUCAAAAUCAUGUUAGUUUGUGGUAUGGAACUGACCUCAAAUGUCACAAUUACAAAUUAAGUUUCUAUCAGCCACAAAUUAUUAACUAAGGAGAAUUAAUAGACACAUUGCUUAUGCAAAAUACUAUAUGUAAGAUUACAUAAAAUGGUCAAUAGCAAGCAUUUGCUUAUGGAUCCAAGAUUCCAAUGUUAUAGACAUUCCACCAACAACUUAAUACGAAACAAUGUACUCUUGUCACAGUUAACAGAGAAGGAAUGAGACCCCUCUUCAGUUGACAGGAAGUUGAACAAACCAUAGUGAACUAUGAUAGCCAAUGACAUGUAAGACUUACUGUUGCCUGUGCUGAGAGUAAAACAAUAAAAGAAAACAUCAGUUGUUAAUAUACAGCAUAUUAUGCAGAACUUUCUAGCAAAGUGCAUAUAUGAAACAAAAAAUUAUAUUUCCUUUAUCUCUUUCU
rnacentral:lncRNA from 1 species